rnacentral:rRNA from 1 species
UGCGAAGGGAGCUAGCGUUGUUCGGAAUCACUGGGCGUAAAGCGCACGUAGGCGGAUGUGUCAGUCAGGGGUGAAAUCCCGGAGCUCAACUUCGGAACUGCCCUUGAUACAGCACGUCUUGAGUCCGGAAGAGGUGGGUGGAAUUCCUAGUGUAGAGGUGAAAUUCGUAGAUAUUAGGAAGAACACCGGUGGCGAAGGCGGCCCACUGGUCCGGUACUGACGCUGAGGUGCGAAAGCGUGGGGAGCAAACAGG